rnacentral:misc_RNA from 1 species
AAGUCGUAACAAGGUUUCCGUAGGUGAACCUGCGGAAGGAUCAUUACAUUCAGUAGCCUAGCUACUUGUUUACACCCUUGUUUUUUUGCGCACUUCACUGUAUCCCUCGGCGGGCUUGCUCGCCGGUUGGACAACAUUUAUAACCUUUUUUAAUCUUCAAUCAGCGUCUGAAUUAUAUUUAAUAAUUACAACUUUCAACAACGGAUCUCUUGGUUCUG